AUACCAGCUCCCCGAGUGGUCGGGACGAUUAUUGGGCCUAAAGCAUCCGUAGCCGGCCCGGUAGGUCUCCUGUUAAAUCCAACGGCUCAACCGUUGGGCUGCAGGAGAUACCGCCGGGCUAGGGGGCGGGAGAGGCGGACGGUAUUCCGCGGGUAGGGGUAAAAUCCUCUGAUCCGCGGAGGACCACCAGUGGCGAAGGCGGUCCGCCAGAACGCGCCCGACGGUGAGGGAUGAAAGCUGGGGGAGCGAACCGGAUUAGAAACCCUAGUAGUCC
rnacentral:rRNA from 1 species